rnacentral:tRNA from 1 species
UGUAAGAUAAGCUAAAUAAGCUACUGGGCUCAUACCCCAAAAAUGGAAGUUAAAACCUUUCUCUUGCUA